rnacentral:rRNA from 1 species
CAGACGAUGCGUCAUGUAUAUCAAUAAGCGGAGGAAAAGAAACUAACAAGGAUUCCCCUAGUAACGGCGAGUGAAGCGGGAAGAGCUCAAAUUUGAAAUCUUAAAGGGUUUCCCUUUACGAAUUGUAGUUUAAAGAAGUGUUCUCUGUUGAGGUUUUGGUAAAAGUUCUUUGGAAUAGGACAUCAUAGAGGGUGAGAAUCCCGUAUUUGACCUUUACUUUCAACUUUGUGAUACACUUUCAAAGAGUCGGAUUGUUUGGGAAUGCAGUCCAAAAUGGGUGGUAAAUUUCAUCUAAAGCUAAAUAUUGGCGAGAGACCGAUAGCGAACAAGUACCGUGAGGGAAAGAUGAAAAGAACUUUGAAAAGAGAGUUAAACAGUACGUGAAAUUGUCAAAAGGGAAGCGUUUGACACCAGUGUUGUUUUUCUGAAAAUCAAUUAAAGAACUGUUUAUGCUAAGUUGUUUAGACUUUAUCAGCUAACUGUUUAGUUUUGAGCUCUUCUUUAAUGCACUUUUCAGUUAACAAGUCAACAUCAAUUUCUUUUGCUGUAAAAAAGCUUGAGGAAGGUGGCUUGAGAUUCGUCUUAAGUGUUUAUAGCCUCUUGCCUAUGCAGUCGGAGAGAUUGAGGUCUGCAGCGUAGAUCCUUCGGGGCUAAAUGCAUUUGUGCUAAGUUAUAGCAUUUUAUAAACAACUUGUUGACUAUGAUUUGUCUUGUAGCUUACUCGCUUAUGUUAUUUUACCUACGCUUAGGAUGUUGAGCGCAUGUCUCUCUCU